rnacentral:rRNA from 1 species
UCUGAAUAUUUGUGUCGUCUGAGUACUAUGUAAUAGUUAAAACUUUCAACAACGGAUCUCUUGGUUCUGGCAUCGAUGAAGAACGCAGCGAAAUGCGAUAAGUAAUGUGAAUUGCAGAAUUCAGUGAAUCAUCGAAUCUUUGAACGCACAUUGCGCCCCUUGGUAUUCCGAGGGGCAUGCCCGUUCGAGCGUCAUUAUAACCCCUCAAGCCCAGCUUGGUGUUGGGGCCUGCUGUUACCGGCAGCCCUUAAAAUCAGUGGCGGUGCCAUCUGGCUCUAAGCGUAGUAAUACUUCUCGCUACAGGGUCCUGGUGGAUGCUUGCCAUCAACCCCUAAAUUUCUAUGGUUGACCUCGGAUCGGGUAGGGAUACCCGCUGAACUUAAGCAUAUCAAUAAGCGGAGGAAAAGAAACCAACAGGGAUUGCCUCAGUAACGGCGAGUGAAGCGGCAACAGCUCAAAUUUGAAAUCUGGCUCUUUCAGGGUCCGAGUUGUAAUUUGUAGAAGAUGCUUCGAGUGUGGUACCGGUCUAAGUUCCUUGGAACAGGACGUCAUAGAGGGUGAGAAUCCCGUA